rnacentral:rRNA from 1 species
UGCUGCAUGGCUGUCGUCAGCUCGUGUCGUGAGAUGUUCGGUUAAGUCCGGCAACGAGCGCAACCCACAUCCUUAGUUGCCAGCAGUUCGGCUGGGCACUCUAAGGAAACUGCCCGUGAUAAGCGGGAGGAAGGUGUGGAUGACGUCAAGUCCUCAUGGCCCUUACGGGUUGGGCUACACACGUGCUACAAUGGCAGUGACAAUGGGUUAAUCCAAAAAAACUGUCUCAGUUCGGAUUGG